rnacentral:lncRNA from 1 species
AUGAGACCCUGGUUGAGGAAUUGUUAGAGUAUUUACUGUCCUCUAUGUGUUGAUGCCCUGGUUGAGGAUUGUUAGAGUAAGUUUACUGUCUCUCUAUGUGUAUGAUGCCCUGGUUGAGGAUUGUUAGAGUAUUUUACUGUCUCUCUAUUGUGUAUGAUGCCCUGGUUGAGGUAUUGUUAGAGUAUUUACUGUCUCUCUAUUGUGAUUGAUGCCGGUUUAGGAAUUGUUAAGAGUAUUUACUGUCCUCUCUAUUGUGUAUGGAAUGCCCUGGUUGAGUAUUGUUACAGUAAUUUACUCUCUCAUGGUGUAUGAUGCCCUGGUUGAGGUAUUGUUACAGUAUUUACUCUCUCUAUGGUGUAUGAUGCCCUGGUUGAGGUAUUGUUACAGUAUUUACUCUCUCUAUUGUGUAUGAUGCCCUGGUUGAGGUAUUGUUACAGUAUUUACUCUCUCUAUUGUUAGUAUGAGCCCUGGUUGAGGUAUUGUUAGAGUGUUUACUGUCUCUCUUUGUUUGCUGUAGUCUGCCGGUGGAGGG